UGUCACUGAGACUAUAUGUGUUAUUUCCUGA
rnacentral:piRNA from 1 species